rnacentral:tRNA from 1 species
GGAGAGCCAGUGUGGUAUAAGUGGUUAAGAGCGGUAGACUCGUAAUCUGGUAAUCUGGGUUCAAUUCCCCGCUCUUCCA